UUUACAAUGUGUGCACAGAUUUGUCAUCGUCAAUUCACACACGAAAACACUGUGAUUCCUUUAACAGUUCGCCCAAACAAGGAGACAAAGAUUCCAUGAAUGACGACACCCCCCCUGUCAUUCAUGACCUAUAUUCAGAGUUAGAGUGAGACAACAUGUGGGAUUGAUACUGUUCCUUUUUCUGCAACUGUAAAUUCAGGCUCAAGAAAAGCUGAGUAAGCUUAGUGAUAUGCUUUAGUUCUCAAGUUAAGUCGGUGUUGCUGAUUGCUCUGCUAAAGUGCCUCAUUUCUACCUCAUUUCUACAGGCUAACUAUGCUCUGUUUUAGACUUUUAGUUUGAUUUUUUAUAUAAUUAGUCAUCAGAAAAAAUUGGUUAUUGUGGUUUUAUUGUUUAUGUCUUGGGCAUCAUGACAGAAUUGGUUAUUUUGGUUUUAUUGUUUAUAUAA